UAUAGAGUUGACUAAUGGUUAGUU
rnacentral:tRNA from 1 species